GAAUGUGAUGAUAUGUAAUUGUCGCCCCAGUCUUAUUUGCAUUCACUACGAUGGAUGCAACAUGGUGAUUGACUUUUCAGUAUCUGAUUU
rfam:Brassica rapa chromosome A4, whole genome shotgun sequence.